UAUACAUAUUUUUCACAGUUUAAAUUUUCAGUGUUAAAAAAUUCAGCAUAUAAAAAAUUUCAACUUUUCAAAAUUCGAAUGCAAUAAUUUCAGUGUCCUCCAAUUCAACUUGCUCAAAUUCGCUGUCUCAAAUUCAACGUCUAAAAAUUCGCUGUAAAAAUGGCGAGGUUACUUCAGGUCACAGACAUUAGCAAUGGAUGUCAGAUUCCAGGACCCAGAUAAUCACGUGACACAACCGUCAUAUUGAAGAAAUACCAGCGUCACCGAGGCUGGCGACCAUGGAGGCGAACGCAAACCCAACGGUGAGUUUAAUGCUUUCAUAUUUCUGUAGUAUAUUUUAUUUUGCGCAUGAAGUUUGAUACAUUACCUUAAAUCUUGAUUUAAAACACGGUUUUGGGCCGUUGUUAAUCUUACACCAUGUAGUGCUGGCAUAUUACCUCUCGCUACCUCCUAGCCCCCCCAGCCCCUCCCCGCUGCCCCACACCCAAUUUACCCCGUUUUAUUUCAAAAAGAAAUACCACUUGCGUCAAGUCUAGAAUCUUGAAAGAGAACUGAUGGGUGGCGACUUUCUGGGUUGUUUGAUGUUGUCUUAGGUGAGACUGAGACAGGCAGUCUUAGUAAAGUGUAAUUUUUCAGGAGAUGCUACCGCUAAUGUACUAAGCUAAUAUGGCUGCUGCCUUGUGUGCUUCAAGGAGGGGCUGUGAACACUUCCGACAUUAAUUAUAACCACAAACCCAUUCUGUUCAGCUACUGUAUUGUUCAGGUGACUUCAUUUAUGAAUGAAUUAAGACAUUUAUUGUCAUUACAACAUCAUCCAAAAUACCAGUUGCCUACCAAACUGUGGAUUUACUUGUGUUUGAUAUAGUUUCUACAGUUUUAAUGGGAGAAGAGCACAGUAGGAUUGCCAUCCUUUUCGUAAAGUACCGAAUCGCCCCGUAUAGGAGACGCUAUUUGUACCGUAUUUCUGUAUGUCCGACAGUACCGCCUAUCACACACAUAUAAACAUUUAGUGUAACAAUAAUUACGAAAAUAAAGCACAAGAUAUGUUAAGGUCAGCUAAAUUGUGGCGGGAGCUAGCAAGGACCCCAGAACGCUUCGGACCAAUGAUGAUGUCACGGUUGCCUAGAGACGGACACUAAGCCCCUUUUGUACUGCACCGCUGGACCUGGGUCGACCCGGCCAGCGGUGCAGUACAAAAGGAGCUUAGCAGUCGUGGUGAGCCGCUCUCAACCUGCGUCUUUUUAAAACGUCCUCAACCGAUACUCUACCAUGUCCUAGCAAAGAUACAGACCUGAGGGGGGAAGACACACAUCCCAGGCUGAACAGUGUCAGUGAGGAUGAAUGCUAGCAAUUUUUUUUAAAAAAUUAAGAGGGGAGCUGAAGAAAUUAUACUGUCUCUUUGUUCUUUAAAACUUAUGGUACUGCAGUUUUAGCUUCUUUCGUGAAAUAGAAUGACACUUUCCAUCUGCUAGAUCAGGGAUCAUUUAAUACAUCUGUUUUUUGUUUCAUCCUUUUGUAAAUAACCCCAUGAAAAAACAUUGACUACUGGCCCCCGUGGUAAAUUUGAUCUGGAACCAGCCUUCACAUACAUAUUUGCACAUAACUUUAUUUCUUGCUGUCUCACUCCACCGGCCAUCCCACCAUAUGAAAGAAGGGUGACAUGGGCGUAGCAUGCGUCCUUAUUUUAAUUUCUGAAAGGUGGCAACCCUACAGCACAGAGUUUUCCUGAGUAAAAGUGAUCAUUCUUAUAAAGUGUAAAUUCCUUUUUAAGUGAUCCUUUUUCAACUGCUACUUUUCUCUUUUAUAUAUUUUGUGACUACAGAGUAGUCAGGAUGCUAUUGUUGAAUCUGCAAGGCACUUGCUUAAUUUACUAACUGAAAGACCACGAAGUGGAGGAAGAGGAGACCUCACCAACCAGAAUGCCAGUCGUAGGGUACCUCAAACUGAACCAUCUGUCCAAAUGGAAAUGAGCAGAUCUUUUCCUGGACUUUACAACAGGGGAAGAGGAAAACGACGAUUUCCUCCAACAAGCCUGGUCCCGGCGAAAAAGAUGAAACCUUUAGAUGUGGUUUUUUAUUUACUACCAAAACAUUAUGAAAAAACGCCAAAAGAAGAUGAUCAACUGAUACACAUGAAAGCGGGAUUGGGCCGGAAAACAGCUCACAUUGAUGAGAGCAUAACGCACAACGAGGUAAUUCCUCAUAAUGCCACAAUUAUUUAAACAGUGGACUAGUCUGAUAAAUCUAUUGUGUCAGCCCUAAAGAUAGCUCUGCUCUCCGUCUUAGCAGAACAUUGGUUGGGACCACUUCUUCUCUGAGUUCAUGUUGCCUUUUCUAUUGUCUGAUGCUUGUCAAUCAAGUCUGCACUAGGCUCUGGUAUCAACAAGAUAUUUCCACUCAGAACUUCCACUCAUUAAAUAUCAGGUCUGUCUUCCACCAGCCUGAAAUCUUGGAGAUGUAUGUGGGUGAAAAUCACUGGUGACCUGUAAUUUCUAAAUUACUCAGGCUUAUGUUUUGAAUGCAGGAUCCAUUAAAUUCACCUCAAUAACAUUUAUUCUCCAUUCUGAUUCUCUAUUUGAACAUAAGCAGCUCAUCUAGAAGCCUGAUUACAAUAAUGCUGCUCUCUGAUUGGCUAUGUCAUUUUGCAUUUUUGAACAUUUCAAGUUGAUCUGAUGAAGUGGGCUGUCAUUGCAUGUAUUAAUAUUGUAUUAUGAACAAUCACUGUAUAUUUGCAUUUUUGAUGAGUCUUAAUUUGACAUAUUUCUUUUACAGCUGGGUGAGACGCUUAAAGUUCUUUUUCCAAAGCUGGAAACUAUUACAGGGGGUUGGCUGCUUUACAAAUCUGCAGGUGGAUGGGGAAGACGCAAUUUGACCUUGAUUGGUCCUGAAGAUGAUGGCUAUACCGGGACAAUGUUGAAGGUUGCGAGUCGCGGCGGGAAAACCCUGUUCAUAGUCCCUAUUCAGGAACAACUUUGCACGGAUCCUCUUGAGCUGAAUGACGAGGCAUUUGCAAACAUGCCAAAGGCCAUGUGUCAGAAAUGCAGAGUAGAUGUUCCCUUGCAUUUUUUGACUGACCACAUAAAGUCAUGUGUGGAAACAGACUUGCCCUCUGAUGUGGCUGGUGUUGAUGUUUGCAACCCUGCAAAGGACAUAUCAAUGCAAGAGUGUCCGGUGUGUGCAAACAUAUAUCCUACUGAGGACAUAGAAGUACAUGCUUCUUCUUGUGGAGAAAUAAGUACAGGACCUCAUUCCACAGAAGAAAUGAAUGAAACAAUGCCUGGGCCAUCUACAUUAUAUUCUUCAGGCAGUGAUGACUGGUAUACCAUAUGCGAUGCUUCAAAGGCCAUUUCUCGCUGUGCAGACCAUUUCCUCCAAAUACAUGCAAUGGAGAACCCCUUGCUGUUGAAGAUGGACUUAAGAGACAGCCCUGCAGAAAAAGACAUGGCUCUGAUUUCCUUCUAUAAGCGACCAAAUGUGCAAUGGGCAU